rnacentral:rRNA from 1 species
UACGGGGGGGGCAAGCGUUGUUCGGAAUUACUGGGCGUAAAGGGUCUGUAGGUGGCUUGUUAAGUCAGACGUGAAAUCCCUCAGCUUAACUGGGGAACUGCGUCUGAUACUGGUGAGCUUGAGUGCAGGAGAGGAACGCGGAAUUCCAGGUGUAGCGGUGAAAUGCGUAGAUAUCUGGAGGAACACCGGUGGCGAAGGCGGCGUUCUGGACUGCAACUGACACUGAGAGACGAAAGCCAGGGGAGCAAACGGG